CAGCAGCCGCGGUAAUACGUAGGUGGCAAGCGUUGUCCGGAAUUAUUGGGCGUAAAGGGCUCGCAGGCGGUUUCUUAUGUCUGAUGUGAAAGCCCCCGGCUCAACCGGGGAGGGUCAUUGGAAACUGGGAAACUUGAGUGCAGAAGAGGAGAGUGGAAUUCCACGUGUAGCGGUGAAAUGCGUAGAGAUGUGGAGGAACACCAGUGGCGAAGGCGACUCUCUGGUCUGUAACUGACGCUGAGGAGCGAAAGCGUGGGGAGCGAACAGGAUUAGAUACCCCGGUAGUCCCUGUCUCUUAUAU
rnacentral:rRNA from 1 species